GCACUGCUGAGGAGUCCCAUACCAGGACGAAACGGCCGUCUAGUGC
rfam:Schistosoma margrebowiei strain Zambia genome assembly, scaffold: SMRZ_scaffold0001286